rnacentral:lncRNA from 1 species
GGUGGUGGUGGUGGAGGUGGAGGACAUGGUGUUUCAGGUGGUGGAGGGUUCACAAUAGGUGGUGUUGGUGGCUUUAUUGGAGGAGUCACUGGAGGCUUUGGUGGUGGAAGAGUUGGUGGUGCUGGUGGCAUUAUUGGAGGAGUCACUGGAGGCUUUGGUGGUGGAAGAGUUGGUGGUGUUGGUGGUGUUGGUGGCAUUAUUGGAGGAGUCACUGGAGGCUUUGGUGGUGGAAGAGUUGGUGGUGUUGGUGGCAUUAUUGGAGGAGUCACUGGAGGCUUUGGUGGUGGAAGAGUUGGUGGUGUUGGUGGCUUUAUUGGAGGAGUCACUGGAGGCUUUGGUGGUGGAAGAGUUGGUGGUGGAAGAGCUGGAGGUGUUGGUGGCUUUAUUGGAGGAAUCACUGGAGGCUUUGGUGGUGGAAGAGCUGGUGGUGUUGGUGGCAGAACUGGUGGUUUGGGCACAUAUGGUGGUUUUGGUAUGAAGGGCGGAUGCACAAUGGGUGGUUUCGGUUUGAAGGGCGGAUGCACAAUGGGUGGUUUCGGUUUGAAGGGCGGAUGCACAAUGGGUGGUUUCGGUGUAUAGGGCGGAUGCACAAUGGGUGGUUUCGGUUUAAACGGGGGAUGUACAAUGGGAGGUUUGGGAACAACAGGCGGCUUAGGUGGGUGGGGUUUGGGGGGUUUAGGGUCAUGGGGUGGCUUUACUGUGGGAGGAGGAUGCACCGGUGGUAUCUUAGGAGGACACUUUGGUGGUGGCUUUACUUUGGGAGGAGGGUGCACCGGUGGUAUCUUAGGAGGAUACUUUGAUGGUGGCUUUACUUUGGGAGGAGGGUGCACCGGUGGUAUCUUAGGAGGAUACUUUGGUGGCGGCUUUACUUUGGGAG